UUUACCAUUCUUUUGCUCAAUAUUUUCUUUUUUAUAAAUAUGCUCAUUCUUUGCCUGCCGAGCACAAUUUUCCUUUCCUUCCCUCUCCUUCUUUGUAGAAUCAUUUUGCAGUUUUUCCCCCCCAUUCUGGAUUACUUAUCCUUGGAAGAUAAAAGUUCUGUCUAGGUCUGAUAUUUCCUUCAUAAUAAAAUGGAUGGCCUUCCCUUUGAUCCUCCUUUUCAUUGGAUAAUAAGUUGAUCUCUUAGAAGAUGAUGGAAGUUUCAAUAUUUCAAUAUUUAAUGAAACUUGUUUGAAAUUGAACAGGCGUUCUAGGAAAGUUGGAUCAGAACACAUGUACCAAUUUACCGUUCUGGGUCAGAGGUGGUAUCUGGCUAACUUUUCUCAUGCAACAUCGUUUAACUUCACAACGAGGGAACAAGUGCCUGUAGUGUGUUUGGAUCUGUACCCUACGACUGAUUAUACGGUGAAUGUGACCCUGCUGAGAUCUCCUAAGCGGCACUCAGUGCAAAUAACAAUAGCAACUCCCCCAGCAGUAAAACAGACCAUCAGUAACAUUUCAGGAUUUAAUGAAACCUGCUUGAGAUGGAGAAGCAUCAAGACAGCUGAUAUGGAGGAGAUGUAUUUA
rnacentral:lncRNA from 10 species